rnacentral:rRNA from 1 species
CCUACGGGAUGCAGCAGUGAGGAAUAUUGGUCAAUGGACGAGAGUCUGAACCAGCCAAGUAGCGUGAAGGCUGACUGCCCUAUGCGUUGUAAACUUCUUUUAUAUGGGAAUAAAAUGUUCCACGUGUGGGAUUUUGUAUGUACCAUAUGAAUAUGGAUCGGCUAACUCCGUGCCAGCAGCCGCGGUAAUACGGAGGUUACGAGCGUUACCCGGAUUUAUUGGGUUUAAAGGGAGCGUAGGUGGAUUGUUAAGUCAGUUGUGAAAGUAUGCGGUUCAACCGUAAAAUUGCAGUUGAAACUGGCAGUCUUGAGUACAGUAGAGGUGGGCGGAAGU